AGAGCGAACGCUGGCGGCGUGCUUAACACAUGCAAGUCGAACGUGAAAUGUAGCAAUACAGAGUAAAGUGGCGUACGGGUGAGUAACACGUGGGUAAUCUACCUUAGAAUCUGGAAUAACCGGCCGAAAGGCUGGCUAAUACUAGAUAGUUCAAGUGUGUUGUAACGACACGAUUGGGAAAGGGAGCGCGCAAGCGCCUUUGUUCUAAGAUGAGCCCGCGUCUGAUUAGCUAGUUGGUGAGGUAACGGCUCACCAAGGCGACGACGGGUA
rnacentral:rRNA from 1 species